GACGGACGGACAUGAUGGUUCCAUAAGCCCUGACUCGGGCUAAAAACUACAUAUAUUUUCCUAUGCAUAUUUAUUAAUGAAUUCUCUCUCAUUUGAUUUGUGGGACAUAUUUUCUUAAUUUUAAAGCUUGUUUAAUUAUUUGAAGGGUAGAAUAACUUGACCGGGUACAGUUGGUAGUGCAUGGAACUACUUAUGAAAUUAUUGAUAUUGAAUUCAUUAUUGAUAAACAAUUAUUCGCAGGUUGGUGGAGGCAAAUAAUACAUUUAGUAACUUUGGUCUUUAAUAAUUGAAAGGCUAAAUGAAGUCAACCGCCAAUGGCGUGGUAUGUGGCAGGGUUACAUUUUUCCAAAGUUGGAAUAAAUUCCCAUAUCCUCUUUGGUUAGGGUCGAAUAUGGUCAUUGUCCUUUCUCUUCCAGAGUUUCAAAAGUCUUAUUGACUGGUAAAAUAAAUCGGGUCCAGAAUUAUCGAAUACAAAGCAAUCGCAGAGCAACUUGUACAUAUUUUAUGAGACAAAAGGAGCUCUUCUGGACAAGGCGUAAUGAUGGCGUUGCCCACAAAAUAAGUCCAAUAACGGGCGAUGUUAUCUGACAACGAAAAACCUGGAGUAGGUGGGGUCGACUUGACCAGAUUCCUCAAUAUUUCUAAACUAGGAUGCAUCAGAUAUCCAGAAAAAAUAUUUUUAACUAGAUCCGGUCACGUGACAAACAUUUAGAAGUGGACUCUGUCCCUGACUCGGGCUAUAUAAACUACUGAAUUAUGUGUACAUAUGUAACCAUUGUAAGUAAUGUCGUCUACUUAUGUUCGCUCUACAAAAUUGUGUUUGAAUAAAACGGCAAAGUAAUACAAUAGUUACAAAUAAAACAAUUAUCUAAAGACA